GUCGAUUUGGCGCAAUGGUAGCGUAUGGACCUCCUAAGUCCAGGGUUGUGGGUUCGAGUCCCAUGAUCGAUG